AAAGAACUACAUUUCCCAGCAAUCCCUUGACAGCAAUCAACAGGAAAGGCAGGGGUAGGGAGUGAGGUAGCUGAUCCAUGCUGCGAGUCAAAAGGGGUGGCACUGUGAAUGGGGAACAAGUGUGCCCAAGGAGUAGAAGGCUUUGCCCCAGAUAUCCCCUUCAGAAGACUUCCCCAGACUGCUUUAGGGAUACUGGUGUGACCUUAUCUUGCAGCUCACAAAGAAGGAAUUGAGUGGACUAAAUGGACAGUGCACAUCUCUAUCUGAAGCUUAGUAAAGGAGAAUAAUCACAGAAAUCACUAACUACAAUGCUGAGAAAACAGAUUCUUGUUUGUGGAUGAAAGAGAGAAUUCAAAGGACCCUACAGAUGUCUGACAUUUUGAAGGAAAGGGUUUUGUACUACACAGUAUGGCCUCAGUUCUGCAAAGAGAUGCAUAUAACCAGGGUUUUGGAGCGGAGCCUGGAGCUGGAAAGUGGAGCAGUUCCGGAGAAGUGGAGCUGCAGGUUUUUGCCUGGAGCUGGAGCAGAGCCGGAGCACAGCUCCAAAGCCCUGCAUAUAAGUGGAUCCACCAUGUUUUUCUUCACUGAAGUAUAUCUGUGUGCAUUUCCUUCCAGGAUUGAGACCUGUUCCUCUAAUGUUGUUGCAUAGUAUAUGCUGCAUUAUCUAGGCAUGUAACUACAAUGGAAUGUACAAAGUUAUCUUAGCAUGGGACUCCUCAAACACACUAAGCCAAACCCUGAAGUCCUUAUCUGGAGCUUAAUCAGCCACAGUGAGACAAGGCAGAGUUUGGUUACUAUAAUUAACCCCCUCUCAAAUUAGGCAUAGUUCUAGUUACAAACCAAUCACCUCCGGUAAUUACUAUUUCCUUAGUAAGCAUGAGGAAGGAAAAUAUUACAUCAUGAUUUUGUUUCUCUCAGAUAAAAUAAUCACAGAAGACAUUAGCUAUAUUGCUGAGAGAAAAGGCUCCUGUUUAUGUCUGAGACACAGAAUAUUGC